GUCCAAGCUACAGUAUCGAAAACAAUGCCAUCAAAAGUCGUAAUGAUUGACAUUCUGAGCAGCGCUUGUCUUAGCAUCGUACUUUCUGUAUCAUAUGUAAACGCUGUCAGGAGCUGUAGUAGCUUCGUCAAGCGCCUUUCUUAUCGCGACGUUCAUUGGCCAGAUCGUAUAUUUCAUCCAAUCAGGAAGGACAUUGCAUUGAUUCGCCAUUUUUUUUAUUGAGCACAUGGCUUAUGCAAUCGUUCAUGAUGCCACCAAAGAAAAAAACGCAAAUAAAAAACCAGGGCACACUGAAGACUUUUAUGUCAUCGACAGAUGUUGAUGUAGGUGCAGAGAGCGCUAAAGUCGUCAAAAGAAAAUUUCAGCAACGAUGGCUGAACCUACACUCAUGGUUGAGAUACGAUUCGGAAACCGGCAAAAUGACUUGUCACUUGUGCGUGGACGCAAAACGAAGCAAUACAUUUACGCAAGGCUGUCACAACUAUCGACUUUCGAACAUCGAGGAUCAUCUCAAAACGAACGACCACCAAACGGCGAUCCUUGCCCCAGAUCUGAGAAGCAAUUUGCGAGAACUGCAAAAUCGUCAACAUUCGUCUCAGGAGAAAGGUGCCUUAAUUGGCAUCAAGGUUGCCUACUGGAUAUGCAAGGAAGGCAUUGCCCUUUUGAAAUACAAUUCUCUUAUGUCCCUAUUGAGGGAAUUGAAUGUGCCGGAUAUUUCUGCUCUACAGGUUUCGGACACUGUGACUUAUGACUCCUCGUAUGCAGCAAGUGAAUUUAUUGAAGCACUGUCGGCGUCUAUUGACGAGGAAAUAAGUGCAAAAGUGAAGAAAUCCCCAUAUAUUUCAAUCUUAGCGGAUGAAAGCACUGAUAUCUGUGUGAACAAGAGACUGGUUAUUUACACUCAGCUUGUGGAUCCAGUGAAUAUGCAACCUAGCACCAAUUACCUAACCAAUGUUAACAUUACAGAAUGUACUGGAGCGGCUCUUUCACAGGAAAUUGGAAAAGAACUCUCCAGAAGGGGAAUUUCUAUGUCAAAGGUGAUGGGACUCGGCUCUGAUGGAGCAUCGGUCAUGACUGGUCAGGGCAAGGGUGUGGCAGGUCCGAUGAAGAGAGAAAAUCCUGGAAUGGUCAACGUGCACUGCAUCGCACAUAGACUUGCACUAUGUACAAGCCAAGCUGCACAGGGUGUUCCAGCCAUGGAUGCUUUCCAACAAGCAAUCACAGCAAUAUACUAUUAUUUUAAAUAUUCACCAAAGAAAGUUGCCCGGAUGGCAGAAGUAAAUGCCAUACUAGACUUACCACAGCUUAAGUAUAAAGAAGUUCACAGUGUCAGAUGGCUGUCUUUUUACAGUGCACUUGAGAGCGUGUACAGGACCCUAGAUGCCCUUCUAGUUUAUCUGGCUGAAGUUGAUACAUCCAAAGAUCCAAAGGCAGCACAUUUGAAGACAAAGGUGAAUUUUGUUUCGGAUUUUAAAUUUAUUUUACUAACAUUACAGUAUUGAUAUCUUUUAGUUCAACAACAUUCCUAUUAAUUUCUUUGGUUAUUCUUUGGUAUGUUAAUCGUGUUAUUAUUUUAACUGCUGUGUCUGACAGUCAUAUUCUGAAUUCCAAAUGUUAAUCAGCUAACCUGUACAAUAACAUAUUAACAGUUUGUUUUUUUUCAGUUGAUUUAUUGUUCCUUUUGUUUAUUUCAGUUGUUUGAAAGGCAUGCAGAAUUUUUGUAUAAAACAGGUACUUUUAAGAUUUUUUCAUUCAUAAAUUACAUAAUUUAAUUACAACAAAGUAAAUGUUAAUCAUAAAUUAAUCGAUCAAGUGAUAAUAAUGGGGUUGUGAAACACUGAAUAUGCUGAGUUGGGUGGGUUGAAUUAAUUUUGGUAAAAAAAAACAUUCCUCAAGCUUAAUUUUAGGUCUUCCUGUUGAUGAACAUGUAUUUUCAGAACUGAUUGUAUGAAAUCAGUGGUCACAACUGUUCAAAUUCUCUUUCUUCAGGUAGCUUGCGCAAAGUUCAUUGCCCUGACUUACAUGAUGAUGGACAUCAUUCCAGUUGUUGCCAAGUUGAACCUGUUCUUUCAGAAGGAGAAUGUGGAUGUCUCUCUUGUGAAGGUUAACCUAACCAAUACACUUGACAAGUUGAGAGAGUUGAAAUCUGACAAUGGUCUUCAUCAGCAGAAACUGAAGGAUGAUCUAGAUGAUGAUCUGAAGGGUUUCAAGGGUCACACAAUCAAAGGCUGUUCUGAAAAAGAGAUUUCUUCUGCCAAAGUCAAGUUCUUGGACAAACUGAUUGAUAACAUUUCACAAAGGUAAGGAUCUGUCGAUGCCAUCACGCAUGUUGGAGGCAUGAAUAUCCUGUGAUAUCACCUGGAAUAAUGUUAAAAGUGGUGUUAAACCCAACUCACUCAAGUUACAGAAGACAAGUGUACUUUAGUUUUUGUAUUUAAGCAUGAGGUUAUUUUGACACAAUUUUGUAUUUUCAUAUUUUCUCUACAGAUUUCCUGAACAAGAUCUGUUAGCUGCAAUUGGUGUGUUGGGAUUAAGACCAGUCAGCUUUCUUUCCAAGGAUGAGUUGGCUGACUGGGGAAAUGAGCAAAUGGAAAUACUGAUCCAGCAGUAUGGUGUGGAGAAGACACACACUUGGACAGGAGAUGACAAGCAGCAGCACACAUCUUCAAGUCCUCCAAUCAUCAAUCCUGAUGAUGCCAGAUCUGAGUGGUCUGACUUGAAGUUGAAAGUUCUAGCUGAAAUGUAUCCAAGAGAUACAUUUGCUAAUCUGUGGACAUUGGUCAAUAAGUAUCACAGAGAGGAAUUCCCUAAUAUGAUUAAACUAGCCCAGCUAGCACUCACACUCCCUGUUCACACAGCAGGAUGUGAACGAGGUUUUAGUGCACAAAACACAAUUCUUGUCCCACUGAGAAACAGGCUGUUGCCUGCCACACAGGACGCUAUCAUUAGGGUUAAAGUUGAAGGCAAAAAACUGGAAGACGUAAAUUUUUCUGGGGCACUCGACUGCUGGGGAAAAAAGAAAAGACUUUUGUUCAAUUUGAAAUGAAGGCUUUUUGGUUGGCCAAUCACUAGGCUGCGGUGCAGAGUCUCCUAAGCUAAUGAUCUGGAGCAAGAUAUCGACACUAGUCUAACACCCAGGUUGAAAAGUCAAAAGCAAUUGGCAUUUGAAGGCAGGAUGGACUGCCUCAGUAUAUAUGUGACAUAGAUGUUAUGAAUAUUGCCCACUUUGAAGUUUCCUCAUAGUGUUACUGAUUAAACGCUGUCCAAAAAUUGUUUGUGUUUUGACUUAUUGACUUUUGCCAUUGACUUAUUACAUUUCUUGGGUCCAAGUCAGUGACCUAUUGACAGCUUUUUGUGUCAAAAA